CAGGCAGCAUGGCUGGGUGUGUUUAUGCACAUGGGAAGGACUGACGCUCCUCUCUAGUCAUGUGGGCCACACUGCUUGCAUAUGGCCUUCUUCUCCGUCUAACAAAGGGUUGUAAACAGCAUGUUAUCCAAGGGGCUGCUAUCAAAACAAAUUCAUUUCAUGAAACUGGAGCUGUCGCUUCACUUUGGCAAUGACUGGAGAUCACUGGUUAAGAUUUUUAUGGUGCGUUUUCAUAAUGGGCCUGUAUCCCUUACAAAGAGUAGGAUUUACAGGAAAAACAAUUCACAAAGCUUUUUAAACAGAGAUGCAAAUGGGCUUUCUCAUUCGUGGAGUGCAAAUAAAUCAUAUGGCUGAGCAAUAUGUAUGUUAACAUAUAUUGAGAAAAUAUUUAUACUUUCUAUCAAAGGUAUUGUUUACCCUGCGUAUGUUCAGAAUGUGUUUCUAAAUAUUUACAAAAGGAAAAAUCAUCUGGCUUAUCUUACACCUCACAUAAAGUGGGAAAAGAGAACUGGCAGCCCUGAGAUUGGGAAAAGGUCGUAAAAUAUUUAAUGACCUGAGGACCAAAAGGAAAGGACUCAGAUCAAACCCACAUUAAAAGCAGUGCAAUGGGCAAGCCACCAAAAGAUAGCUGAGUUUCUCUGAUCCUGAAUGGGAGUGCCGGGACUAGAGGUUUGGGGACCUAAUUAUUCAGGGAAAGAAUGUACUGGAAUGCUUGCUCCUGAAGAGAGAAGCCCAUGAAAAGUCAGCAAGAUAGUUGCCUCUAGCAUGUCAAGAAUUGACAUGUUUAUGAUCUUUGGAUCCUUGAGAGCUCAAGACUGUUUUGAAGAUCUCCCACACUAUUAUUUCAAGAAGCUACUUUUGCUGUGCACAGACCAAGACCUGGACCCUAUUUACAAUAUCUGAAAACUUUAACAUCUCACUCCAAGGAUUUCCAGUGAAAUUAUGUUCCAUUUCUAGAGACAGUGACUAGAAGUGCAACCACUACAUAGGAAACAGAAAUUUCAUUUUUAGAUCACCUACUGGAACAUUCUAAAUGCUUUCUUUCUACCAAGAACUGGGUACUAAACUUCUUUCUGAGUAAGGAAGCCACUUGGAGCAGUUGGGGAUGACAGUAAUACUGUACAUGCUGAUUUCCAGAUUUGGCAGCAACCUAGGAGAGUGCCUGUUUAGGGGGGUGCACACUAAAGCGUUUAUAGUUAAUGGACAUCAUGACUACAAUGUACUCAAAUGGCUCAGGGGAAAAAACAGCAGAGAGAGAGGGAGAGAGAAUGAAAGAUCAAAUGUAAAAUGCUAAUGAUGAGGUGACGAAUGAGAAAGCUUUUUGUGUUGUUCUUGCAACUUCUCUGUAAGUUUGAAAUUAUUUCAAAUAAAAAGUAAAACAAAUACAAAAGACAUAGUUUGAAGGGCCUGCAACUGGCCAAAGUUUAGACUAGUUCUUUGAAGUUCAAAAAAAUUGUGACUUUAAUAGUAACUCAGUGAAUAAAUAAGAAUCCAUGAGUCCACAAUAAUAGGAA